GUCAGCCUUCCCGAUCCUGGACGGCAUCGCCGCAAUCCUAACAGUGGGCGUGGUCGCCAUCGCUCUCACUUGGUAUCUCUUGAAAGAGACGCCAGCCGAAAAGGAGCCGCCGAACCCACUGAUGACUACGAAGAAGUCGACCCUGUUGCCGACCACGUUGCCGAUCACCCCCAGCUUGACGACGACAGAUGUGUGCCUACAAGGAGAGAGUAAAGAAUUUGAACUUCAGCAUCGCCGGGUACGACAUUGAUGCCGACGAGUCAUCUGCCCCGUGCAAUAAGGUCAAAUACACGAGCCAGUACAGUAAGCUGAAGCUGCUCAGUAAGCUGGUGGACUUCAUGAAGUACACCAACGAGAAGGACUGCAAUAGUGUCUCCUAGCAAGUGUUGACAUUCGCUACGGUGCGUGGCGUAGGGAAAGGACCUUAUGCCUGAUCGUCUGCUACGAUUAGUGGUGAAGACUGCACAUUUUCUUGUGUUUGGAUAUACCUCUUCCUUUUAUAAUGUAGCUACCCUGUGGUAUUUAUGCUACAUGUAUACUGUACCUUAGUUUCAUAAGAGAGUCCUUGUGUAAAGACUCCAUUGUGUGAUAGAAUACGUCGGUCAUUUCAUUGCGAUCACUGCCUUAUGUAUCUUUCUUUCGACAUGCGAAAUGAAUUGAAUGUCCAUUGUUCAAUAGGAAAAGAAGAAAUACAAGAAUGCGCUAAAAUAUAUUGCCAUUAAAUUGGUAAAAUAAACAGUACGAAGCUCUUAGAAUCGUAAGCAAGAGGAAAUACAAAAGUCACAAAAGUAAGGGCAAUCUAGAAAACAAAACAAGAAGGAACAAACAAUACGAGGCACGUGUCAAGGGACCUUUUGCUUAUCAAGGUGUAUAGUUAAAUUAUCGUAAAACUUUAUGUAUUACAAUAUCAACGAAAUUUGAUUAUCACCAUAGGCUACCACAUUUUCAACAAUACGGUUAGAAAAGAAGAACACAUACAUUUACAUUUAUGAAUAAAAACGUGAAAAAAGUAAUAAAGAAAGAAGCACACAAAUAGGCAGCAUAUUACACACAGCUCGUAAAAAUAAAAUUACCAACGCUUGCUCCCAACAAUAGGGUCGCAAACAUUCCAAAUGUACAACAAAUCAGAAAGCAGACUAUAAGGUUAAAUAAAUGUAUAACAUUGCAACACUUGCGCGUGCUUUCGCACAUCGUAGGUAUGGAUGUAACAUCGAUCUGGAGAGAAAAAUACCCAAAUAACUAAACUUAACCAUCAGCUUCACAAAAUAACCAAACAUAACCUCUGAGGCGUAAGUAGAUAAGCGUGGAUCACCUUACAAAAAGCGCUACUGAGCGGCAUUAUUCUAUCAUGCUGGUAAUAACAUGAUCUGUAUCCAUUAGCUGAGGAACCAUGUGUGCAAGUUUUUGCCUGCCGUGAUUUGACCGGAUUCUCUCAGUCUACAGUUAGCGUAUUUGAAACUAUAGGCAUGUUAUUUCCAAAAGUAAGCUUCACGGAAUGCAUUCUUGCUUCAGGUGAUUUGGUCGUAAAUAUUUGUCCGCAUUUUAUUGUAAAAAUAUUUUCAAACGUUACAUUGUGGUGCUUGUGAAAGAUCUGGGCGGAAUGCGUUCGCCGAGGAACGCCUUCAUCUAUGCCUACGAUUGUCUUUUGCAAUGUAUGAGAACUUUACUCAUUUGAGCCACUGUGCCCCAAAUAACAAACUAGAAGAUUCCUCACAACACUAGCACAUAAUAAAGCCCCUUUGCUACUCAAAGCGGCAAUAAACACCUUUUUUGCAUUACACUUGAAGAGUGUGAAAUAUCUGAACGAAGUUUGUUGACGUGAAAUGGCCAGUUUAGGGUUUCACGGAAAUUAAUGCCGAGCAACUUAUGACAUGCAGCGCGUUCAAUGAAAACCCCUCGAAAUGUAACUUUAAUUUUGCGGAGUAUACAUCUUUCUCUAAGUCGAAAAACAACCUGUCAUGUAUUUUUAGUGUUUAGCUCAAAUUUGUUUUUGUUUGUUAUUUUGUUUUUCUAGAUUACUUGAAUCAUUGCCACAGAAAACCAAGUUUGCGUCAUCAGCGUAUGUAAUGAUGUUCGGUGUUAGUGGUAUACAUACGAUAUCAUUUACAUACAACAGGAGCAAGAAGGGGCCACUUAUACACCCCUGCGGGACACCGUAUAUUACUUUACCCGUUUUUUGAUAUUGCCUGCUGCGCGCCAGUGCACUGAACUCAAUAUAUGUGAUCACGAACAUCUUAUUCCGUGUUCGUUUGGCUUUUCUAAGAGAAUUUCGCGCUUGAUGACAUCAAAGGCUUUCUGAAUAUCGAGAAAUAUUCCAGUUGUGGGAAGUUUCUGCCCAAAAUUAUCAAUUAAUUUGGCUUUAUAUUAGCAACUUUUUCUCGGUACAUUUAUUUUUCUGCAAUCCGAAUCGGUGCUUUGUUACA